rnacentral:rRNA from 1 species
CCUACGGGAGGCAGCAGUGAGGAAUAUUGGUCAAUGGGCGCUAGCCUGAACCAGCCAAGUAGCGUGAAGGAUGACUGCCCUAUGGGUUGUAACCUUCUUUUAUAUGGGAAUAAAGUGCAGUCUGUAUACUGCUUUGCAUGUACCUUCUGAAUAAGGAUCGGCUAACUCCGUGCCAGCAGCCGCGGUAAUACGGAGGAUCCGAGCGUUAUCCGGAGUUAUUGGGUUUAAAGGGAGCGUAGGCGGGUUGUUAAGUCAGUUGUGAAAGUUUGCGGCUAAACCGUAAAAUUGCAGUUGAUACGGGCAUCCGUGAGUACAGUAGAGGUAGGCGGAAUUCGUGGUGUAGCGGUGAAAUGCUUAGAUAUCACGAAGAACUCCGAUUGCGAAGGCAGCCUGCUGGACUGUAACUGACGCUGAUGCUCGAAAGUGUGGGUAUCAAACAGGAUUAGAUACCAGUGUAGUC